rnacentral:lncRNA from 1 species
CUGAACGCGCACUCUUCUUAAUGAAACUUGAGGAAAUUACAGAUCCCACUAUGUCCAAAAUCUGACAACAGACAUGACAUGAAAAGAGGUACAGACUCGACAGACUAACUCACACAUGGUAUGCCACAAGUUGGUCUGUCCUAACAUGACAGUAGGCAAUAUACAUAGAAUGUUACAAGCAAUAGCUAGGUAGAUAUAUGGACUGCUACUUGUGCACUGGUUGGACAGAUCACACAACAUCUUUUGGCCCUGUAGGGCCUCUCUUCAGCACACCGGCAUGCGUGAGCAGCGCCCAAAGGUGCGUGAUAACUCCCCUCCUUUUGCAAGAACUUCCAGGUGCUCCCGAGCAUCGUCGGAUGGCGAGACAUACAGCAUCAUCUCCGCCCAGAAAUCAGAUAGCACCUUCCACCGUGUUGUGAAGUCGUGUAUGUUAUCAGUCAGUUGCUUUGCAAGGUGAACGCCCUUCGCAACAAGCUUUUUUUCAUCACGAACACAACCAUCAUCGGUGUUAAUUUCCAUUAGUAUCUCACACCUGCCCUCGAUCUUCUUGUUCUUGCCCUUGAUCUUCUUGUUCUUGCCCUCUUUGAGUAACUUGCUUGCUUCGUCGAUUGACUGAUCAAGUAUGGAUUCUGAUAUGGAGCUGUGGUCGGGCAAGAGGUUAGGUGCAAAAGCAAGGAGAUGCAUGCAGUACUUGGAUAAAGUGGAGGCUGUUUUGACAGCGUCUUCUUCUUUGGCUUUUUUAUCCAGCUUCUGCUCGCACAGGGUUGUAGCAAUGUGCCAGACCACAAUGGUGCGAGCCACCGCUCCGUCAGUAGUAUUAGCAUCACAUGCCCAUGAGAGACAACUGACGCCAUUGUUUUGCAGCGAUGUUACCCCAUUCGUCAGGUUGCCGUUGCUUCUUAAUAGGGAAUCAACGAUGGCUUUCUUCACAUUUUCGGACAACUUUUCUGAUUUCUUCAGUCCAUUCUUGCUAGCCUUGUCCACCAGGCGCAGCGUAGCAUAAUGGAGACAAUUCCUAACCCUACUUUUGCGGCCAAGCUCCUGGAGGAUACAGUACUGCCCAAGAUUGCGUUUCCAUGGUGCAAACGCCUUCAACCUCAAAAGAAGGCCUAUGAUCAUCUCAAGGCAACGGCUUCUUCGCAAAAAUGGUGUGUUGAUGUAGCUCUGUAUUAGUGCCACCUUGAACCAACCUGAGGAUAUGUACAGGUAGAGCUGGUAUGCCUCCAGGAAUGCCACGACAACAGUUACAAAUAUGGUGGCAACCAGCACAGAGCCACUCUUGAAGUGCUUGACGAGCAGAUAGGUGAGCCACAAGCAUAGGCCAAGCAUGAUGAUGGGCAGACUGAGGGCAAUGUAUCGACCCUUUUGGUAGAGGUAAGAAUACCUUGUGUAAUAGAAGUCAUGGACAAAAACAAGCUCUUCCUCGAUGACCCUGAAGGCCCUCUGAUGUGGCUUGUCCCCGGCGAGCAGGCCUUUGAACACAAAGUCACGGGUUUUGUCAUGCCCCGCCUCUGAGAGCCUGAAGCCAACAAACCUUCGGUUGAGCAUCUUGGAGAGUGCCAUAGAGAGGCACAAGUCCUUGAGCAGCUUGCCCCGCUCAAGGACCAGCAGCCUCCCUGUGCACUGCCAGAUCUUCUCCACGGUGACAAAGUCGCCCCUCUUGUACCAUGGUGUGCAACCAGGCUGCCGCUUGAUGCAGUACUUCUCGCCAGCGACAAUGUACCGGUAGCCUUCCAUGGUCACAGGAUCGAAGGACUCCUCCAGGUUGUCCUUGUGCUGCUGCUGCAUAUAUUCAGCGAUCACCUUCACCUUCUUGCAGAGGUAGGAUUUGCUCACCAUCCUCAUGGAAGCUAUUCUCACAUACCCCUUGAGGAUGACGACCAACACGAUGGCAUAUAAGGGAUACCUGUAGAUCACAUCAUGACGCUUGCAAAUUAUCAGAAUGAUUAGCACCAGCCAGAAUCCCUUAAGGAUGUGUUUGACGUGGAUGCUCUUCCAGUUGUCGACGUCGCUGAGGCGGCAAACCGUGAGGUUGUCCGCGCUGCCGAGGAGCAGAAGAAGGAACACUGCCCACACAGUGAAGUCUUCGUAGUAGAAAUUGGAAGAUUUCAUCAGCCCAACGAUAUAGCCCACCAGCGGAUAGGAGAGCGUGUAGACUCCCAUCACGAUAGAAUGGAGGAGUGUGUGGCUCGACCGACGGCGUAAGGAACCCAGUACGUGCAAGAGGAACAUGGCGAGAACGGCCAGGAUGACAUAUUUUUCUACGGUAGCUGUAUAAUCUUUACGGCAGUCUUUGGUAUGGGGACUGGGUGUGGGACUCGGUGCCAGAUCCAUGCUGGCUGCAGAUUUGGUUUCUGAGGGCGCUGUACACUUCUCUACCUAGCUCACUCCAAUGGAGUACACAGUUUGGGUCUUAGAGAACCCUGAGUUCUGUAUGUGUAUAUAGGGAAAAAAGCAACGGUCGGUGGUUGUUGAGCUAUGGAACAACGGUGUAGAAUGAAACUUUCCUGUUAAAUCACGGUGGACUAAUAAAAUUUAAUUGCUACUUUUGUUGACACAAACUAGCAAUGUUGUGGUCCGUGCAAAUAGCGGGGUUAGAUUGUUAUAACAUUUAUUUCAUUUAUAUAGAAAUUUCGGAACCAAAGACUAAUUAAUUCCGUUAAUUAUUGCGUAUACCAGGUUCAGUAUAGAACUUUUGUUUAUUUGUUCUUUCUUAUUUCUUUAACUUUUAACUUCCUUCUUGUACAUAUUGAUUAAUUACCAAGGUGAUUACAUCGCUGGCCAGAAUACUCUACCUGAUGCACACUUAGCCAGAGUUAUUAAUGUUGUUAAGGGAGCUAGCUAGCACAUGCAGUAGCUCUGCAGCAGCAACAUAACUAAAGAUGAAGUCUUUCAACUUAGUUAAAUAAACUUGCUCAUGGCACAAGUUCAAGCCAACCUUCAACUUGAAGAGAUGCGUGGAGCAUUGAUUCCAAAACGCACAAUUUGUUAACGCUGUGCUUGCUCAUGGAAAAAUGCAAUGAACCUAGGUAUAGGUGGUACUUAAACCUUGGGAUUAGGUGUAAAUUAAUCAUAGCUCAAGGUAUCAAAUUCAGUUUGGUUCUAUAAAGUGCUAACUAGUGGCAUUCUAUGACAUGCACGAUUAGGUAUAGACUUGCGAGGCUCUCGUAGCGACUCAGGGCUUGAAGACCAAGAAAGGUCUUGCAUGCUGACCAAGAAAGUGGCACAAGUGGGCCUGGAAUUACCAUGCUAAAUGCCCUUCACCCAUUUAAUCUUAAACUGAUUUAGUAUGUGUGAAGUUAAGCAACGGAAAAGUAUCUUAUUAUUACUAAUUGGAGGCUCCUUUCGAAGUCUCCAGGUAAAUCCACCUAGGAUGGACACUCUAAAAAAAAAUAAGUCCUAUAAAUUAUAAAAAAAGCAACAGAAAAGUAUACAAAUAGUUUCGUCGGAGUGACGAGGACUAGACAUGCCUUUUGGAGAUUAUAUGGAAGUGUGGCAAAAAUUAAACACAGCAUGAAUUACCUUAUAUACAUUGAUUUGGUGACGGCAUACCAGCGUGACUAGCAAUGUUGUGGUCCGUGCAAAUAGCUGGGUUAGAUUGUUAUAACAUUUAUUUCAUUUAUAUAGAAAUUUCGGAACCAAAGACUAAUUCCGUUAAUUACUGCGUACCAGGUUCAGUAUAGAACUUUUGUUUAUUUGUUCUUUCUUAUUUCUUUAAUUAACUUUUAACUUCCUUCUAGUACAUAUUGAUUAAUUACCAAGGUGAUUACAUCGCUGGCCAGAAUACUCUACCUGAUGCACACUUGACCAGAGUUAUUAAUGUUGUUAAGGGAGCUAGCUAGCACAGUAGCUCUGCAGUAGCAACAUAACUAGAGAUUAAGGUUCUGUUUGGCAUGACUCCAACUCUGGGUGGAGCUGCUCCACUCCAGAACUCCAGGUGGAGCCAGCUCUGGGUGGAGUUGGAGCUGUCUGGUGAGGGUGUUUAGCUGGGAGGGUGUCCCUAGCUCCAGAAAAGAGGAGUUUGAGGGUAGAUUGCCUUUCUUGCCCCUGGUUCGACUUGAACUACUUAUCACAAAUAUAAAAUGAAACUACAUGCAUUGAAGUCCAAAAUAAUAAUAAAUUACAUGUUCCAAAAAUUUAAAAUUUCGAAAUAAAUUCAUAGUUCCAAAAUAAGGUCGUUACAAUAAUCAUUGCACUAAUUCCAUGUUAGGGCAAUUGAUGUAGCCAUACUAUCACGAAAGGUGUCCAUAGUCACAAAGCUUGAUUCCGAAGUUGAUCCAUCAGAGGCAUGUUGAGACACAGCAUACUUGUUGUAUCUUUCCGGAAUAGUAGGCAUGUAGGUAGGAUCUCUAUCAAAAUUAGCAAAGUCCACAUCAAUGCUAGCAUGUUCACGUAUGAAAUUGUGUAGAACCAUAGUAGCAGCAACAAUCUUCUUUUGUGUGACCAUUGAAUAACCGGGCAUCUUGUAAAGGAUUUGCCAUUUCAUUUUUAAUACUCCAAACGACUUCUCAAUAACAUUACGAACAGAUGAGUGUAUACGGUUAAACUUCUCUUUUGGAGUAUUUGGUUCCAUACCUCGAUGCCACUCGGGUAAGUGGUACCUUUCACCCUUGUAUGGAGCCAGAUACCCCGGACGAUUAGGAUAGCCCGCAUCUACAACAUAGUACUUGCCUACAUAUAUGUAAAAUAAAAUAAGUUUGUGCAUACAAAUAUGAAAAGGAACAUAAGGAAAAAUAUUUACCUUGAGGAGGAUGUGGGAAGACAUUUACAUCUGCUUCCAAUGCAUGGUACAAUACACUAGUGUCAUGCAAAGAACCUGGUUGACCCACAGCCACAUAGGUGAAGCGCAUAUCAAAAUCACAAACGGCAAGCACAUUUUGAGUUGCAAUUCCAGUCUUACCAGUAUAUCUCACUUGUUCUUCCGGUGAUAAAUACACACGAAUAUGGGUUCCAUCAAGUGCACCAAUGCAAUCCUUAAAGUGUGGGUAUGCUCUCUUGUCAUUCCUAAUCCUCUUGUGCACAUUGCGAAAAUUAGGAUCUGUUGGUCUCAAGAAAUCUUGUGCCAUGGCAACCACACAAUUUAGAAUUUCAUGAAAUUUUCUACUAAUGGUUUCACCUGAUUGUUUGAACUUAUUCUGUCCUCUUCUAUUUGACUCACACCCACCACAUGUGAAUAGGAAAAUGGUCAACAUUUCAAGAGUAUUCAUGUGCUUCGAUGGUUUAAAUCCGUACCUCUCAACCAACACAUCAUGAAGAUCCUGAAAAAUAACCUCAUUCAUCCGAAGCAUUCGAUGGCACUCCCCUGGAGUGUUUACCGUCUCCAUCAGCCAUCCCAUUCCAUUCUGUUGUGAAAACAUAAAUCUCGGCGGUGCCUUAUUCAUAUAUGAGUCAUGAUAACUUUGUGCUAGCUUACCACAGCUCUCAACCAUUUUAAAAAAAUAUUCACCAUCAGAAUCACUAGAUUCAUCAGACUCACUUGAAGACAUAUGUGAACAUUGACAUAAAUGAAAUGUAAGAUACAACUGUCAUACAUAAAUAAAAUGCAAUAAAAUAAAAUGUACCACACAUGCGACAAAAAUAAAAUAGUAGCAUACACAAAUGACAUCACUCUCACUAAGCCAAUUUCUAUUUUUCAUAUUUAUCAUUGUACUUCCUCCUAAGCCAAUUGAACCUAAUCUCAUUAGUAGGCAAGGUCAUGAACAUCUCCCUUUGCUCCUUCUUCACAAACAGUUCAGACGUCAUGUAAUGUUCAUUGCUAUCAUAGCCGGCCCCACAAGCAAUCACAACCUCCAUCACUUCCUCAAUAGAAUAUUUUCCAUGUCUCUUCGAAACAUAUUCAUUGGCUGAACUUGCCAUACUUGUUACUGCUUCUUGAAUUAGGAAUGCAUUUCCAGACUUCGCUUUUUUACCACUCCUGUCAACAGGCCUUGCCAGUCUCUUGCCACUCGCAGGUGAAGGAGAAAUACCAAUAUCCUCCUCUUGUGUUUCAGGAAUGAAAUCAUCACCUUUUGGCUCAAAAUUGGUUGCCUCAUCUUGUGUCACAUCAACAUUUUCGGUUGCUUCAACAUUCACAACAUGAGGAGACCAAUGAUCAAUACCAAUAGUAGUAAUGUCAGCAAAACACUUGGCUAAUUCAUCUUCAUUCUCAAGGCCCUUCUUUUUGAACUUGCCACAACCCGAAAUGUCCUGAAAUAAGCACAUAAUAAUAAAAUUAUUAUAAGUAUUAUCAACAGGUUUGACAUAUGCAAAAAAAUAUAGCAAAAUUUUUUAACCAACUUACAGCUCUAGCUUUUUUCCACCAUUCAUCAUCCAUAGCAAUAGUCUUCUUUAUAGGAUCCCAACCAGUCCCUGUUUGCCUUAGCAUUAGUUUCUUCCAUGCUUUGAAAUCUUCCUUCAACUUGUCCCAUUUGUUCUUGAUCUGACCCUUGGUAGCCACAAUUCCAGUCCUUUCCUUGAACCCCUUCUCAACCUCAGCAUAACCAAGUGCAUUCAAGUGUAUGUUUGGCCGAUUUCCUUUUUCAACUUGUUCGGCAAACAACACACACAGCACUCGAGUGUUCUCCGAAUUCCAAUCAAUUUCUGGCAUCUAUCGAACUCAAAAAUUUCAUAUUAGAAGGCCUCGAGUAUAUCAAUUUUAUACACACAGAGCACUAGAGUAUAUCAAUUUCAUACACACACAACAACCUCAAAGGCACAAUCAAAGGUGUACUCCUGAUGCAUUUCAGUUAAUGAAAAAAAAGUUGUUGCCAUACCUUGUGGCCGGCGGAACUCCUCGAGAUGCCAGGGAUGGCGGGGGAUCUCCUCCUGAUGUGUUUUUGAUAUGUGCUCUCUGUAACAAUUGACAAUGAUUAGAAACAUAUCAUAAAUUUUGUUGCGAAUUCGCUCCAGGAAAUAGGCCGGGCUUCUGACGGAGCGGAGGCCCGUCGCCGGAGGCUUGGGUACGGUAUAUACAGAUCACAGAUGACCCAACAGAUUAACGGAGAAUGACAAAAACCGGGCAUGGUUAUAAUCUCAUUCCAAAAAGGAUAUUUCUACAUGAACCUACUCGACCUAUGCCCCGAUGUACACCUUUUUGCGUACAAAUAUCAUGGAUUCUAGUGACGUCAAGAGCUCAGUGACAGAUAGAUUAUUAUAAUAGUGUACUUUAUAAUAUACUACGACAAAAAUGCUCUACAUGUAACAUAUUCAAGGUUGUUGAUAAAUGAGUAACCAUGGACUAGGCAUGCAAAUAUCUUUGAAGAAUAAUAACAAGGCAGAAAAUAACAAUUUAUGAAUACAUCUAGCUUUUCAUUCCCAUUUGGGAAGAUAUACAAUACAUCUAGCUUUUCAUUCCCACUCAGGCACGAGUACUACGCCCCUGCCUGCUUUGACCUCUUCAUGGACAGGUUCAGUAACAAGAACUCGCAAAGAUUCAACCCAGUUCAUGUUUCCAAAACGAAAUGCAUGCAAAUCAUGGUGUGCUCUGAGCAGGACAUGAAUUUCACGAACAGAAUUGGCCUCACGAGUACAAUCACACCAUGGCCUCUGAUUUUACUUCAAAAAAGUACCAUCAGGAAGCAUACCUUGUGAACGGGCGGCGGGGGACCUCCUCCGGCGGCGGGGCGCUGUGGCCGGCAGCGGCCUUCGGCGGCGGGGCGAGAUGGCCGGCCUCGGGGCGCAGCGGCUGGCGGCGGCCUUCGGCGGCGGGGCCUUCGGCCGGCGGCGGGCCUUCGGCGGAGGGGCGCGACGGCCCGCGGCGGGCUUCUGCAGCAGGACGCGACGGCCGGCGGCAGGGAGCUGCAGCCUGCGGCGGGGAGCUGCGGCCGGCGACGGGCCUAGGGGCCAGCGGUGGGGCGCUCCGGCGACGGGCCUAGGGGUGCAGCGGCCGGCGGGACUAGGCGGGCGGGCAGAUCUCCUCGGGCCAGGGCACUUGGCGGCGGGGCUCCGCCAGCCUGCGGCGGCGGUGGGGCGCUGCAGCCGGCCACCGGCAGGGGCUACGGCGGUGCCGAGCCUAGCCGCCGGCGCAACCCUAGCCGCCGGCAGGGGCUACGGCAGGCGGGUGAAGGCCCUGUAUGGAAGAACAGAGGCGCACGGGAGAAUGGAAGAGAGGCGUGAGGCAAACAGAUGAAACGUUAUUUUUGUGUAAUCAGUGGCAGUGGUGGGUAAUUACCCACCAACUCCACGAGGAGGUUCAAAAGAGGACAUUUUGGAGCAGCAAAAGGGGUGCUCCAAAACUCCAGCCCCAUUUGCACUACAGCUCCAUGGAGUUGGUAGCUCCAUGGAGUUUUGGAGUUGACUUGUUUGGCUGGUUUUUUUGCUGGAGUCGCUGGAGUUAUGGAGUGGAGCCGUGCCAAACAGUCAGUCUUUCAACUUAGUUAAAUAAACUUGCUCAUGGCACAAGUUGAAGCCAACCUUCAACUUGAAGAGAUGCGUGGAGCAUUGAUUCCAAAACGCACAAUUUGUUAACGCUGUGCUUGCUCAUGGAAAAAUGCAAUGAACCUAGGUAUAGGUGGUACUUAAACCUUGGGAUUAGGUGUAAAUUAAUCAUAGCUCAAGGUAUCAAAUUCAGUUUGGUUCUAUAAAGUGCUAACUAGUGGCAUUCUAUGACAUGCACGAUUAGGUAUAGACUUGCGAGGCUCUCGUAGCGACUCAGGGCUUGAAGACCAAGAAAGGUCUUGCAUGCUGACCAAGAAAGUGGCACAAGUGGGCCUGGAAUUACCAUGUUGCCUUUCACCCAUUUGAAUCUUAAACUGAUUUAGUAUGUGUGAAGUUAAGCAACGGAAAAGUAUCUUACUAUUACUAAUUAUUGGAGGUUCCUUUCGAAGUCUCCAGGUAAAUCCACCUAGGAUGGACACUCUAGAAAAAAAAAAGAGAAAUCCUAUAAAUUAUAAAAAAAGCAACAGAAAAGUAUACAAAUAGUUUCGUCGGAGUGACGAGGACUAGACAUGCCUUUUGGAGACUAUAUGGAAGUGUGGCAAAAAUUAAACACAGCGUGAAUUACCUUAUAUACAUUGAUUUGGUGACGGCAUGCUUACAUCACGCAACACAGGCGCAUGUGUAGUAUUUUGUGGUAAGUACUUGUGUUUGCUUCGAGGGUAUCAUGAAAACCGCCGUGUGAUGGUGACUCCACUUGGGAGAUGAUAAAGCUGCAGGUGGCCCAAUUGUGUGUUAUUGUUCGUUAUCUUUCAAAACGUGACGACAUGGGAAUCUUCACCCGUUCUGCGUGAGGACAAAGCUGGAUUUAAUUUGAUGAUAUUACAAAGAUGUAAUCAAGUACUAAAUAUACAAAAGAUUGAUGAUUGUGGCGCUCGAUGACUUAAUAUUUUUUAUCACUUCAACGACGACCUUACAUACAAAACUAUCCGUAUGUACAUCAAUCAUUCCAAGACGUAAUACUAUAUGUUCCAUUAACCAAACUGCAAAUAUAAUACCAUAUUGCAAGCCACGCCAAAGACAUACCCAUUCCUCUCUUGAACAGUUUAUUACUCAUUCGCAGUACCACGAAAUGAUCAACAUGCAUGUUGUUUUAUGCCAUCAUCAUUAAAUAAAAGCACGGCCUAGAGGGUCCAUCUUCUUCCUUUACAGUCAAGCUCCAUCAACCUAACGAAGGUUCUUGUAUUUGUAGUGGAGGUAGCCCAUGCAACCCCAACAAAAGUUGAAGUCAUCUCUUCUGCCGUGGAGUAUUAAUUCCAAAACGCUGGAUCGUUAACGUUGUGAGGUUUGGAAGAUUCACAUAUCUCAGCACACUCGACAUUUUCAGGGAAGAUAUGUAGUUGGUCAUCAAAUGGUUAUCCUACCAAAACAAAAUAAAGCCUUUGUAAUAUUUUCAAACGGUGCCAGUACUUGCUAAUGUUUUUCAUCAAUAAUUUUGUGCGUACUGGAGCAAGCUUUUUCAUAUGUCAGGCCCAAUUAUUGUCUGGCUUUGAGAGACGUUUGAACCGGUAUUGAUGCUGCCAGCAUGAACCAGUACUGAUGGGGUGGUAUUUAAAGAUUAAGUCGAUUCAGUCCCAGGAUUAGACUUUGACUGCUGUGAGGUCAAUGUAUCAAAUUUCAGUUUGGUGCUAUAAAGUGAUCAUUCUGUCGCAUGAGAUUAGGCCAAAGGUCAUGCAGGUUGUGCUAAAGUGGCAAGUGGGUACAUGUGGAAUGAACAUAUCCUAAAAUUGUCUUCAGUGUCAUGGAAUCUUAAACAAGUAGUAGAAGGAAUCAUGACACGUAAGCAUUCGAUUGCAUUGCUUUGCUGACCCUACUAGUGUCUCAUAGCUAUAUAUGGUGACCUUUUCCAUAUUCCACUUGGGGAAGAAGCUGCAAGUGUGCAGUGUUCUGGUUCACUAUAAAAUGAUGUGGUCAUUGGCAUCUAUUUAAUUGAAUUUGCAUUAAAAGAAACUUUCGGAGGAACUAUUUCACAUUAAACGAGGCGUACGAUCAUACGGCCGGGUAGGAAUAACACGUAUGUAAUGCAUUCAUCAGUUCAUUAGCUUGGUGGCUCAAGAGUUAAGAAAUAAGCCCACCAGAGCACCAAAUCAGGCGAAGACAUACCUAGUCCAUGGAAGCCCACUUUGUCCAUGGAAGCCCCUUGAGCAUCAUCUAAGUUAUAUGUAACUGGAACUGACAAAGGCAAGUAUACGUUAUUAAGUGAUACUCCCUCCUUUUCGAAAUGUAGGUCCUUUUCACUUUUCUAGAUAUAUGGAUUUUAUUAUGUAUCUAGACAUAACUCUAUAUUUAGAUGCAUAGCAAAAUCUAUGUAUCUUAAAGUAAAAAAAAGACCUACAUUUUGGAAUGGAGCCGCAUAUCCAAAAAGGUCACACUGGUGUGAUGACGAAAAAAAAGCACACCACCACGUUAAGCCACAUCACCAACUAAUAAUUAUUAGCCAUUACUCCCCUUGUCCUAAAAGAAAGUAAUUGUAUUUGUCCUAAGUCAAAUUAUUUAAAAUUUAGCCAAAUUUACAGAAUAGUAUCAAUAUUUAUAUCACUAAAUCGCACCAAUAGACAUAGAAAUUAAAUGAUGGGGAUGGGAAUGCAAGCAUGUACAAUACAAUAGGGGCCCUGGUACUGUCUUCGUCUGCAUGCUAGGUGUCUUCCGAUCCUUUCUUCCGCAGUGCAGGCCGCCGCAUGCAUCUAGUGCGACCACUGUGGGGUCUUCUGGUCGUCUCUCGUGCUUCUUUCCGUGGUGGCUGGUGCUGCCGUCAGUUCCGCUUGCUGCCUUCGUCCUUCCUCGGUUGCAUCUGCUAGAUUUGUUUGGUCGCUCGAUCCUGGGAUGCUUAUGUGCUCAUGACCUUUGGGGGUUAUGAAAUGGUCGUCGGUUCCCUGUCGUGGGAUGGUUCAUGGAGUUGGGGUUCAGGAGUCAUGAGCAAAAGAUCUGCCCGGUUUCUGACUCGGUGCUUACUAUACGGUUACGUAUGUGGCGUAACACACAUGCACACAUGAACCUAACUUGAUCUGAUCAAGUUGAAUUGUUCAAGAACCUGCCGCUGAUCCACAAAGAUAUAUACUACUAAUAUUAUACUAUUACUACAGUACAAUAAUGGACAAUGAACAAUCAUUAUUUGUGCAUCAUUCACGCAAUGACGUAUAGUGUUGUGAGUAUACGUAAUUGGUCCAUAAUCAUUUUUAUGUUUAGUCUCUAUGAUUAUAUUGAUAUUCGUAAUCAAAAUUGAAAAGUCAAAGUCUAAACAUAGCUAUAUUAUGAGACCGAGGGAGUAUGACCAAUGGAUAUUGCUAGCUAGGACGUGAAUACAAUCAUGGGUAUUCAAACAGUGAGCUCGGUGUUUACCACGACUUGGUCAGGCCUCCGCGUUUACCUGAAUUUUAUUUGACUUGUAGUUUUGCAAUUUACUUUUCUUUUUUUACUUAGUACUUCAAGUUGUAUUAAUUUGUUGAUAAUUUCAUACGUAGGUAUUUACAAUCCAGGUCUACACGCGUCAUGCGCCAUAUGUCCGCACACUGAUCCGUACGCGCAAUCGUGAGGGUUGGCUUUGAUACCCUGGUAACACCCUAUCCAUCAAAACCGCACUGCGCAGUCUUUUCGUGGGGCGGGCACGCGUACACAUAGCACCCUACUUACACUUUUAUCCUUCCUUUGUGUAAAAGGGUUAACCUGAAGGUGCUAUGACUGGAGGACCAAAGUUUAUAAGUUGGCUCCACCCUUACUCAAGUGGUACUAAACAUACGCACCUACGCUCAUGGGCUACUACUGGGCCAUCUAAAUUUGGAUUGGGUGUCAUAAUUAAGAAACCAUAUUUCACAAUAAAUCUAAUGAUACUUAUUUGGUGAAAUAUAAAAUAACUUGAGUUAAGACAAAUCUAAAAUAAUAUUAUUUUCUAGACGAAAGGAGUAUAUUUUAUUAUUUAAAAGUACAACUUAAAUGGCUUUACAUUUACCAUUAUAACUCUCAUGUGUGAAAUUAUACUACGAAGUGAAUAAAUUAAGUAAACAGAAGACAAACUAUUCUACAAAGUGACCAAAAAAAGUACAUAUAUAGAAAAGGAGGGGCAAGCCCCUCCUGAAUUCUCAUAAGAAAGUACAUAUCCUGAACAAAUUAGGUUAAAUGUCAAAUAAACUAUAUUCAAAUUGAACAAAUAAGUUCAUAUUGUUUCAUGUCACGAACAAGAAAGUCCACGUCUGGAAUAAUGACAAACAUGAUCCUUCUGCAUUCGAGGAAGGUGAAGGGCCAUCUUCAGACGCCAAUGCAGCUCUGACCCUAGGUCCCAUAGGUGCGAGAAGACAGUGAACCAAUGCAAAGUUCAAUGUCAGGUGUACCAAGGCCCGGAGCUACCAAGUUCAAUACCAGGUAGUUGGCUCAAGGCCCAGGAUACCAAGGCCUGCCACAAACAUGUGUCCGAGGCCUACAGAGCCCUCGGUGGAUUCGCUGAGGGAACCAGUACUUCGAAUCCUAAUAUGCAUGAAACUUCACGCCAGUGGUAGGGUCAAUAAUCUCUGCUGCAACAGGACCUGCUCGAUUCACACACGAACAGAUGCAACUGAGGGAGAGUGCGUUUUCAGUUUUCUUCCCCAACCCUUUAUUUAUGCAACAUAAAUAGUGAUCGUGACCCAAGUGGUCAACGGAUCAUGGCUUUAGUGGUCACCUAAGACGCGUGCACGUCCAACAACCUGAAUGCGGAAAUUAUAGACUCCGACCCUGACCAAAAUCUGACAACAGAAACGACACGGACUAACUCACUCAUGGUGUGCCACAAGUUGGUCUGUCCCAACAUGACUGUAGGCAAUAUGCAUAGGAUGUUACAACUUACAAGCACUAGGUUGAUAUGUGGGGACUGCUACUUGUGCACUGGUUGGACAGAUCACACAACAUCUUUUGGCCCUGUAGGGCAUUGCUUCAGCACACCGGCAUGCGUGAGCAGCGCCCAAAGGUGCGUGAUGAACUCCCCUCCUCUUGCA